GAUAAACGCUGGCGGCGUGCCUAACACAUGCAAGUCGAACGCCCUGGCGCUCUUCGGAGCGCGAGGGAGUGGCGGACGGGUGAGUAACACAUGGGUGACCUACCCCACAGUGAGGAAUACCGGCGAGAAAUCGCCGACAAGACCGCAUAGGCUUUCUGGGAUGAACCGAGGAAGCAAAGUCGCAAGACGCUGAGGGAUGGGCCUGUGGCCGAUUAGCUGGUUGGUGGGGUAAGAGCCUACCAAGGCGACGAUCGGUAGCUGGUCUGAGAG
rnacentral:rRNA from 1 species